rnacentral:rRNA from 1 species
GGCGAUAGCGAAGAGGUCACACCCGUGAACAUACCGAACACGGAAGUUAAGCUCUUCAGCGCCGAUGGUAGUCGGGGGUUUCCCCCUGUGAGAGUAGGACGCCGCCAAGC